AAGAACCGUAGUUUUGUAUUGUUUAUGUGUAACAUUUGACCGUCAUAAUUUGUUAUGAUUAGUAUAUUUGUUGUUAUUAAAUGAUAAAACAUGAAUAGUACUUUAUGUAUGACUAAUUCUUUUUUAUUUUAUUAUAAUUUUUUUUAAAUAAGACGGACAGACAGGCGUUGGACACGGAAAUUUAAAAAUGCAUUUAAA
rnacentral:pre_miRNA from 1 species